CCCAUUAUAAAUAGGCGCCAAUCCUUGUGUUUUGGGCAAGGGCGUAGGCCAUGUAUUCUUGAGUGAAACACACGUUUGUAGUGAGGGAAAAAUCUGUGUAAUUGCCUUAGUGAAAACCGAGUGCUCACCUUGUAAAUUCUUUUGUCUCGAGAACUUUGUCGGAUCUUUAUCUACUUUUUGUUAAUUUAAUUAAAUCGUAUUUAACCCCUUAAGCGGGCUAUGAGUAGGCUGGGCUGAUACGUGGUCUUCACCGCUGCACGGUGUGAAUCUGGGCAAAAAAGUUGGCCGAAUUUUACCCCGUGACACCUACCAUGGUGGUGACGGGUGACGGAGAAUAAGGGUUCGAUUCCGGAGAGAAAGCCUGAGAAACGGCUACCACAUCCAAGGAAGGCUCCAUUAACGAGGAUCCAUUGGAGGGCAAGUCUGUGCCAGCAGCCACGGUAAUUCCAGCUCCAAUAGUGUAUAUUUAAGUUGUAGCAGUUAAAAAGCUCGUAGUUGGACCUUAGGGUGGGCCAACAGGUCUGCCUUGCGGUGUGCACUGGUCGUCCUGCUCCUUCUGACGGCGAUGCACUCCUGGCUUUAACUGGCCGGGUCGUGCCACCAACGCUGUUAUUUUGAAGAAAUUAGAGUGCUCAAAGUAGGCCUACGCUCUAGAUACAUUAGCAAGGGAUAACAUCAUGGGAUUCCGGUCCUAUUGUGUUGGCCUUCGGGAUCAAAGUAAUGAUUAACAGGGACAGUCAGGGGCAUUCGUAUUUCAUAGUCAGAGGUGAAAUUCUUAGAUUUAUGAAAGAUGCACAAUUGCGAAAACAUUUACCAAGGAUGUUUUCAUUGAUCAAGAACAAAAUUUGGGGGCUCGAAGACGAUCAGAUACAGUCAUAGUCUCAACCAUAAACGAUGUUGCUUUUAGGACGCCGUUGGCGCCUUAUGAGAAAUCAAAGUUUUUGGUUUUCGAGGGGAGUAUGGUCGCAUGGCUGAAACUUAAAGGAAUGGAUGGAAGGGCACCACCAGGAGUGGAGCCUGCGACUUAAUAUGACUUAACAUGGGGAAACUUACCAGGUCUAGAUAUAGUAAGGAUUGACAGACUGAGAGCUCUUUCUUGAUUCUAUGGGUGGUGGUGCAUGGCCGUUCUUAGUUGGUGGAGCGAUUUGUAUGGUUAAUUCCAUUAAUGAAUGAGACCUCAGCCUGCUAACUAGUUAUGUAGAGUUAACCCUUCACAGCUAGCUUCUUAGAGGGACUGGCCUUCCAGGCCACGGAAGCUUUAGGCAAUAACAGGUCUGUGAUGCCCUUAGAUGUUCUGGGCCACAAGUGCGCUGCACUGAUGUAUUCAACGAGUCUACACCCUUGGCCGACAGGCUCAGAUAAUCUUUUAAAUUUCAUCAUGAUGGGGAUAGAUCAUUGCAAUUGCUCGUCUUUAACGAGGAAUUCCUAGUAAGCGCGAGUCAGCAGCUCACGUUUACUACGUCCCUGCCCUUUGAACACAUCACCCGUCGCUCCUAUCGAUUGAAUGGUCCGGUGAAGCGUUUGGAUCGCGGUGACGUAGGCAGUUCGCCACCGGCGACGUCGCGAGAAGUCCACUGAACAUUAUCAUUUAGAGGAAGGAGAAGUCGUAACAAGGUUUCCGUAGGUGAACCUGCGGAAG
rnacentral:rRNA from 1 species